UACAGAGGGGGCAAGCGUUGUCCGGAAUUACUGGGCGUAAAGCGUGCGCAGGCGGUUUUGUAAGUCUGUCGUGAAAUCCCCCGGGCUCAACCUGGGAAAUUGGCGAUGGAGACUGCAAGGCUAGAAUCUGGCAGAGGGGGGUAGAAUUCCACGUGUGAGCAGUGAAAUGCGUAGAGAUGUGGAGGAACACCGAUGGCGAAGGCAGCCCCCUGGGUCAAGAUUG
rnacentral:rRNA from 1 species